UAGGGAAUCUACGGCAAUGGGGGCAACCCUGACCGAGCAACGCUGCGUGAGUGAAGAAGGCUUUCGGAUCGUAAAGCUCUGUUGUAAGAGAAGAACGUGUGUGAGAGUGGAAAGUUCACACAGUGACGGUAACUUACCAGAAAGGGACGGCUAACUACGUGCCAGCAGCCGCGGUAAUACGUAGGUCCCGAGCGUUGUCCGGAUUUAUUGGGCGUAAAGCGAGCGCAGGCGGUUUAAUAAGUCUGAAGUUAAAGGCAGUGGCUUAACCAUUGUUCGCUUGGGAAACUGUUGAACUGGAGUGCAGAAGGGGCGGGUGGAAUUCGAGGUGUAGCGGUGAGGUGCGUAGAUAUAUGGAGGAACACCGGUGGCGAAAGCGGCUGUCUGGUCUGUAGCUGACGCUGAGGCUCGAAAGCGUGGGGAGCAAGCAGG
rnacentral:rRNA from 1 species